rnacentral:rRNA from 1 species
GAUGAACGCUGGCGGCGUGCUUAACACAUGCAAGUCGAACGAGAAGUGAAGACGGAACCCUUCGGGCGGAAGGCUUUAUUUCGAGUGGCGGACGGGUGAGUAACGCGUGGGUAACCUGCCUCAUACAGGGGGAUAACAGUUGGAAACGACUGUUAAUACCGCAUAAGACCACAGCACCGCAUGGUGCGGGGGUAAAAACUCCGGUGGUAUGAGAUGGACCCGCGUUCGAUUAGCCAGUUGGCGGGAUAACGGCCCACCAAAGCGACGAUCGAUAGCCGAUCUGAGAGGAUGACCGGCCACAGUGGGACUGAGACACGGCCCAAACUCCUACGGGAGGCAGCAGUGGGGAAUAUUGCACAAUGGGGGAAACCCUGAUGCAGCGACGCCGCGUGAGUGAAGAAGUAUUUCGGUAUGUAAAGCUCUAUCAGCAGGGAAGAAAAUGACGGUACCUGAGUAAGAAGCCCCGGCUAACUACGUG